CACGUGCCCCUGAAAUGCAACCGAGGCCACGUCCCACGUCUUCUGGGGGAGGGGAGGAUGGCCACCCUCCGAGGGCGUGGUUCCUGGAGGAAACGGGUGAGCAGGGUGAGCCCAGGUAGGUGAUCACACCUCAUCCAAAGCGGUUACGGGUUGUGUGUGAUCAUGUGACCGGACAUUGCUGGCCCCACCCUGCACCCACUGUUGCAGGUCCUUGGGGUUUUGAGGGUCACGGUUUCCUCCUCUCAAGGGGUCCCUGUUUCCUCACCUUGUGCACCCUGCCCUCUCUCUAAGGCAUCAUCCUUUUCUCUUUACUCUGACCCGCUUGUGCCCCAUCUUCCACCCCAGACCGCAGGGGACAUCCAGUCCAGGAGCGGGUUCAUUCAUCAACAGUUCCUUUUCCGCUCAGGGCCCUGUGGAGUCAGGAAAGGUCAUCUAAAGCAGCGUUCUCUCCUUCCUCCUUCCCUGAGGAAGCCCAGCGGUCCCUGCCAGUCCUGCCAAAAGAUGGCUAAAACUCUGAAGGACUCUAGUAGAGUUCAGAUGUGAGCGUGAGCGGGGGUGGGGCUCAGCCUCUGCGGGGCGUUGGCAACACUGCAGACCAGAGGUCUCGUGGGGCGGGGUCUGCACUUUGCAAGCAGCUCCCCCUCUGCUCUGAAGAGGGAGAAAACCCGAGGAGCCGGCCUGGGACCCUCUUAAGAUUCUUCCAAGGGAGGGACUGCCUCUCUGGUGCUGGGGGCCAGGGUGCAUGGGGUUUGCUUGUAGCCUAUUUUAGGGGGAGGGGAGGGGCAUGUGCCGGAAGAGGCUGCUGGGGGUGGGGGAGGGUUGCUUUUUCUUUGGGGUUAAAGGCUGUGCAGCACGUUUUAGGACAGCCCCCAGAAUGGGGCUGUCUUUAUAUCAUUGUGAAUGAAACUGCUCUUGCUAAAUUAUUUUCUUCUGGUGGGGAGGGUGCACUUUCAUUUUCAAUUCACUUUAUUAAAGGAAAAUCGCAAUCUUCCAUUCCUCCCCUCCCCCCAUCGCCCCCCACCCCACCCCCACACCUUCCUCUUAAGGAGGGAAUCUUGGUGAAUGAGUUAUUACCUCUCCUCGCGCCCCCCACCUGUACAUCCCAUACUCCGUCUUCCAGGUCUGGGAAAUAUCCAUUUUUAUGGCCAGUCUUAGCAUGUUUUCUUAAUGUGACAUUUCCACCCCAGGCCCAAGAGAGAUUCUAUGACAUAUAUUACAGAGAGAAUUAUAUAUAAAUAUAUAUAUAAAUACUAUAGAUUAUACACACAGGAGCAGGGGCUCCAGGGCCCACGGCUAGGCCCCUCCCCAGCUGCAGCCUCUCUCUCUCGGCCCUGGGGAGGCGGAAGGGGUGUCCUGCUGGAGAUGGUUCCAGGCUGUGUUCAAUGGCACUAAACACUGUGGUGGCACCUUCGGCUAUGAGUGUCUUAUUUGGGGGGCGGUGGAGGCUGGGCAUGGGGCGGGAAGGAGGAGGAUGCCAGGGAUGGGCACAACUAAAGAAUUAAAGGAGGCAUAACGGUAGGCUCCGGGAGUUGGUGAUGGACAAGGAAGCCUGGCAUGCUGCAUGCAGUCCAUGGGGUCGCAGAGUCUGACGCGACUGAGCAGCUGAACUGAACUGAAAAGAAGGGAGCAACGAAAGCCUUGGGGGUGGAUUCAAGAGCACCUGGGACCACUUGCAGAGAAGGCAGGGUAAUGGCAGGCUCCCUGUCACUGGCUUGGGGAGGAUAAGGGUCUCUGACUUCCCAAGUGCCGGAGGCAUCAAAGAGCUGGGCCAUUUCAACACUGAACCUCUAGGAGAGGAAUACAAAGGACCAGCCCCGAAGAAGCGUGGGGGUGAACCAGUGGCCCAGCUGCCCUGAGCCUUGGGUCUGGGCAGGAGAAGCCCCGGCUAGAUCAGCUCAAGAACAGAGCUGACCCUCGGGCAGGACAGAUCAAGGAGGACAGUGGGAGAGGGAGUGACCUGGAAACCGGAGGGUGAGGAAGCUGUAAUUCGAGAUGCCAGAGGGAGUAAAAUAAAUCCAUCAGGGCCGCGUGACUGUUGAGCCAUACACAGAGCCUUCCCGUGACCGUCCCUCUUCUAGGCUCUUCCCCCAAUAGGCUCUGUAUGCAUGUCUCACUGCCUAAAUGGAGGACGGAGAGGGAAGUAGGAAUGGCCUUUUCCCGCCCGAGAAAUUGAGGCCAGACCCUGGGAGCUCAGAUGGUAAAGCAUCUGCCUGCAGUGUGGGAGACCCAGGUUCGAUCCCUGGGUUGGGAAGAUCCCCUGGAGAAGGAAAUGGCAACCCACUCCAGUACUCUCACCUGGAAAAUUCCAUGGACAGAGGAGCCUGGUAGGGCUACAGUCCAUGGGGUUACAAAGAGUCAGACACAACUGAGCAACGUCACUUUCUAGUAGGAGCCAGAAUAGAGUCUGGAGGCAAAUUUCAGGGAGUGGCUUCGGGCAAGUGGAGGACAGGGUGGAGGGCUCUGAGAGAAGGCGCUGUGGAUGGUUUGCCAGUACAUUCAAGGGCCAUCAGUCCACGAGGCCAUGAGGUGGUCCCAUCUCCUCCUCCAGCAUGCCACAGGCAGGACCACAGUCAUCCUGGGUCUCCCUUAACCCACCCCCUGGGGAACUGAUGGGAGGAUGGGCAAGGCCGGGAAGGCACUGGGACAAGAACACUGGGGGCGGGGGAGGGUGGGUUGUGGGGGAUGCACGGGAGAGGCAGGUAUUCCCCACCCACACACGGGCAAACUCAGGAAGCCCAUGGAAUAUCAGGGGCCCUUCACACAGAUCCACUGCCUAUCUGGGGUUGGGAGGGCAAGGCCCAAAUGACUGACCAAGGCUACCCCCUGCCCAAAUUCCAGUUCUUCCUCCAAGGAUCACAUUUUUAAAAACUCCCAGG
ensembl:lncRNA